rnacentral:lncRNA from 1 species
CGGCGGCGCUGCGGGCGCGCCAGAUGGGGCGGGAGGAGGGGAGACCCGGCACCCACCGGCCCAGAGCUGCCUGACGCGGCCUGGGCGGACCCCGCCGCCCGGGUGCCUAGGCACGAUUCCAGGGAUCCAGGGUAAAGCGGUUCGCGCGGGAACAGGAGGAUAUGUCAGGCACAGGCUAUUCCCCAUCACUAUAGCCACAGAGGACUGGUCCAGAUGCGGAUCCCGAUCUGUGCUUCUUCAGAUGGUUGGAUACCAAGAAAGCUGCUCAGGAAACCUUACAACACAAUGGAAAAAGU